rnacentral:rRNA from 1 species
UACGUAGGUGGCAAGCGUUGUCCGGAUUUACUGGGCGUAAAGAGCGCGCAGGCGGUCGUUCAAGUCGAGUGUGAAAGCCCCCGGCUCAACUGGGGAGGGUCAUUCGAUACUGAUCGACUCGAAGGCAGGAGAGGGAAGCGGAAUUCCCGGUGUAGUGGUGAAAUGCGUAGAUAUCGGGAGGAACACCUGUGGCGAAAGCGGCUCACUGGACCAUUACUGACGCUGAUGCUCGAAAGCUAGGGGAGCAAACAGG